rnacentral:rRNA from 1 species
AUGAUUUUACCUCCUGUUUAUUUGGAUAAAGAAGCCAUGUUCAAUCAUCAAUUUCUUGUCAGGAAUGAACAAUUCCUCCAUUAUCGACUAAUCUAUGACAGACGCAACGUCGUCCCUGUUACUCUUCCUACUCCCUACCUUUUUGAUUAUCAGGCAAAAGGAAGAUAUGUUGUCACCAGGGAGGAAGCAGCUGAACACGAGAGGGGAGCGGAGGCAGCUCGCCAACACGCUGCAACUCAGGAGGCGGUUGCCGCUGCAUCUCUAUACGACCCCAGUUUCACUUACGGAUAUCAGCCAGGCGGUCCUUGGUACUAG